GCCAGGGUACUACGAGCAAAGCUUAAAACCCAAAGGACUUGACGGUGCCCUACACUUCCUAGAGGAGCCUGUCUCAUAAUUGAUUAUCCCCGCUAAACCUCACCACUCUUUGCCUCUCAGCUUGUAUACUUCCGUCGUCAGCCAACCACAUGAGUGAAAUUCAGCAAGCCUAAUGUCUACUCAUCAAAACGUCAGGUCAAAGUGCAGCUAAUAGAGUGGGAACAGAUGGGCUACACUUUCUAGUAUAGAAAACACGAAAAACUGUGUGAAACCAUAGUCAGAAGGUGGAUUUAGAAGUAAAAAGAAAUCAGAGCGUUCUUUUUA
rnacentral:rRNA from 1 species